CUUGGAGUCUGUCCUUACCCACAAGUUUUGUGCCACGUUCUCCUGCUUGCAAUGGACAGACAAGUGACAUAUGCUGAUUUAAACUUAUCCAGGGGUCCUUGCCUGGAAAGUUCAUCACCCCCAUCUCUUCCUCAGGGUAAGUGCCUUUUGUUUUCCAUUUGGCAUUUGUUUGUCUUUCAGAGUUAGAUUUUUCUCUUAUAUUGAUGGUUUUAAAUCACAGCUCUGAGGAUAAGCAGCAGUCCUAUAUAUAUAGGAUAUAUAGGAUAUAUAUACACCAUAUAUAUAUAUGGAUAUAUAGGAUAUAUAGAUAUAUAGGAUAUAUAUAUAUACAUAUAUAUAUGGUAUAGCAUAUCUUACCUGUAGGUAACAGUAACUGUGACGAAAAGCACACACCUAGUAGAUUUCUUUUUUUAUCAAGAUAUUAGUGUGAAGAGUGAACAUCACUCCUAUUCCUGAGCCUUGGUUAAAAACCAGGAAGAAAUAUUUUACACGUAUGAACAAAGUAAUAUUUUAGAGACUUCCUAUCAUGGUAACGUACCUUAUUCCAAAUCCUUCCCCAAAAUACUAAUGCUAAGUUUUACUGCAUUCCCUCCCAUAGUGUUUUGCCCCCCAAUAUGAAGUAUAAGUGCAAUGAUUAAUAUCCUUCGCUAUCCAAAGAGAAGGAGAAAAUUUUUUCUAGAAGAAUAUCAUAUUCAAGAUCAAAGACCUCAACAUAAUUAUAAUCUGAUAGUUUCUAACUUUGAAACUUGAUGCUUGAAAUGUAUCCUGGUUUCGAUGGAGAUAAGCCAUGAGACACUGGAGAAUAUCAUUAAAAGAACCUAUUUGACACUUGUUGGAAUCAGCACUUUUCUGUGUCAGAGGAAUUAGUAUUUUCAGUGGGAAAAAAAAAAAAGGGUAACGGUCAUGUGAGGUAAUAGGUGACGGAUGCCAAUAGCCUGGAAAUGGAUGAAAAAAGACCAGAAACUAGGCAGAAAAUAUGCACGGAAUUAUCAUGACGUUCUGAAAUCUAACCAAAUGUACUACUGGGAUUUUUAUCCAACCUGAUAUUCAUUUCAUAUUGUGCUAAACAUUGGGCUAUAGCCUUUUAAGAUGAUUUGGUAUAGGUUUGAAACUACUAAAUUAUCAAGUUCUAAAUUGGGAAAAAAGGCUUAGGGUUACCAAAUAAGUUUCACUAUACUCUUCUUUAUGGGGGUUAAGGGGAAUUGGAGGAUCUUGAUAACUACAGUCAGGGUUUGGUGUGGCCACAGUUAUUUUUUAGGGAAAUAAUGAGACUUUCUCUUACCCUAUUCAGAUCUAGCAAAGGUGGAGAGGGAGGAGGCUGGUGUUUAAAAGGGAUGACCUAAAGUGAAUACAGAGAAAGGCAGUGAGAUUUUCCUCAAAAAUUACUAUGACCCCAAAUCAGUGCGUCCAGAAAAUUUGUCCAGUCUGAUCAUAUUUUUGUCCUAUUUCACCAUCGUGAAAGGAAAUCUGAAACAAAGUAGAAUAAGGCCAACAAAACGUGUAAUUUAAAAACACUGAUCUGAUAUUACAAUUAUUGCGAAACCACUGCUGAGCUCCUUGGCUAAACUCUUCAGGCUGUGGUAACUGUUAAACAGUGAACGCACCAAAAGGAGUCAGCGAGCUAGACGGAGAUGUGAGCUGUGACCUAUUUUGUUAUAGCCAAUGGUUUGGUUCCUUAGAAAAGUAAGUAAGGUGUUUGUAAAAUGCCUCUAGACAUUGUUUGUUCAUUCAAAAAUAAACUAUUGGUUUUGAAGCUACAACAGGGAACAAAAUAGCGAAAAAAUAUUUUCCUUUACUGCAAUUAUACUACUAUAAGAGACAUAAUAAACAAAUAACUGAGUAUAUGUAAAAAGAUCAUGUGAUAUUUAAAACAUUUUUUUUAAAUGUUUAUUUAUUUUUGAGAGAGACAGAACAAGCAGCGAAGGGGCAGAGAGAGACACACAGAAUCUGAAGUGGGCGCCAGGGUCCAAGCUGACAGCACAGAGCCUGACGUGGGGCUUCAACUCACAAACUGCGAGACCGUGACCUGAGCCGAAUGGGACGUUUAACCAACUGAGCCACCCAGAUGCCCCAAAAGAUCACGUGAUAUUGAGUGAAAUUGAGAAGAAUAAAAAAUAGAAGUAGAAUUUAGUUUGGUGGGGGGUACUGUAUCAAAUGGAAUAUUUACAGGAGGUGAUGAUAAGAAGACAUUUGAGUCAAGACCUGUCAAGACUUGUGGGACAAAGUCAUGCUUUCUGGGAGAAGAGUCUUUUAGGAAGCAGGACACACAAGUGCAACCUCCCUGACAUCAAAACUUACCUGUCAUACUGUAGGAGAGCACGCAGAUUAGGGUGAAAUAUCAGCAUGUAUAUAUGGAGAGCCACAGGAGAUGAAGUUAGAGAGGUCAUUCGAAGCCAGAUUGAAUAGAGAUCUGCAGACCACUUUAUAGACUUGUCCACAUUCAAAUCUCCAUAGAAAGCCAUUGAAAGGUUUAGAGCAAUGGAGUAGAAUGGUUUAAUAUAUUGUUUACACCCAAAGAGUAGCCCAGAGUGGGUAUUUCCCAAUAACUAAGGUUUACUUGGCCUCUUCAACUUGUUAUUGUAACUCCAUUAAUUUCAAUCUCAUAUAGUGCAGCAGAAGAACUUAAUACAGAAGAGCAUCCCAAGCACAGGACCUUCCAUUCAAUUCCUUAAGUUUUAUCAAGAAUGAAGAAGUAUCUUUAAAAGUCACUUCAGGCGCACCUGGGUGGCUCAGUCAGUUAAGCAUCCAACUCUUGAUUUCGUCUCAGGGAUGACCCCAGGGUCAUGGGAUUGAGCCCCAUGUUGGGCUUUGUGCUGAGCAUGGAGCCUACUUAAGAUUCUCUCUCUCUCUCUCUCUCUCUCUGCCCCUCUCCCAGGCGUGUGCUCUCCUUUUCUCUCUCAAAAAAAAGUCACUCCAAAUUUCCUUUGAGCUAUACAGAUGGUCCCCUACUUACUAAGGUUCAACUUGCAAUUUUUGGACUUUCCAAUGGUGUGAAAGCAAUACACUUUCAAUGGAAACCAUACUUUGAAUUUUGAAUUCAAUCUCUUCCCUGGCUAGCAAGGAGCGGCACAAUCUUAUUGCGUGAUGCGGGGCAGUGGCAACCACAGGUCCCCAUCAGCCACACCAUCAUGAAGGUCACAGCCGAUACAGUCAUCCUGUUCCCAUGCAACCAUGCAGCUUUUCACUUUCAGUACACUAUUCCGUAAAUUAUGAGAUUUUCAAUACUUUAUUCUAAAAUACGGGGCCCCUGGGUGGCGCAGUGGGUUAAGCGUCCGACUUCAGCUCAGGUCACGAUCUCGCGGUCCGUGAGUUUGAGCCCCGCGUCGGGCUCUGGGCUGAUGGCUCAGAGCCUGGAGCCUGUUUCCGAUUCUGUGUCUCCCUCUCUCUCUGCCCCUCCCCCGUUCAUGCUCUGUCUCUCUCUGUCCCAAAAAAAUAAAUAAACGUUGAAAAAAAAAAUUAAAAAAUAAAUAAAUAAAAUAAAAUAAAAUAAAAUAAGCUUUGUGUUAGAUGAUUUUGCCCGAGCUUAGGCUAAUGUAAUUAUUCUGAGCCCUUUUAAGAUAGGGUAGGCUGGGGCGCCUGGGUGGCGCAGUCGGUUAAGCGUCCGACUUCAGCCAGGUCAACGAUCUCGCGCUCCGUGAGUUCGAGCCCCGCGUCGGGCUCUGGGCUGAUGGCUCAGAGCCUGGAGCCUGCUUCCGAUUCUGUGUCUCCCUCUCUCUCUGCCCCUCCCCCGUUCAUGCUCUGUCUCUCUCUGUCCCAAAAAAUAAAUAAAUGUUGAAAAAAAAAAAAUUUAAGAUAGGGUAGGCUAAGCUAUGACGCUCGAUAGGUUAGGGAUAGUAAAACUAUUUUCAAAUGACUAUCUUUUCAACUUUCACUGGGUUUAUGGGGAUGCAAGGAAUAUACAUAGGGAACAAAUUGAGGAAGAUUUGUAGUUUUUAAAAAAGAUUAAAAGAAAAAUAACAUAAUAUUUAUUGAAUAAUUACUAUGUGCCAGAUACUAUGCAUAGCAUUUUAGAAGAAUUGUCUCAUAUAGUCCUUUCAAAAACCUUGCGAAGUAGAUAUUAGUCUACAUCUUAUAAAUGAGGAAAUUUGUCACUUAUGAAGCUAGAAUACCUUGCCCAAAGCAACAUGUUCAAGUACAGAUGUGCUAGAUUUGAAAGCCUCUGCUUCUAACCACUGCUGUGCUUCCAUAAUAAAUAUUAAAAUAGUCACUAUAUGUCUCCAUUUUGCAAAGUUUCAAGGGAAAAAAGGACGAGGAAGGAAAGAGACAUAAAGGUAAAAUAAUAUACAUAUCUACAACCGGAAGGAGUGAUAUUUUAGGGCCAGUCUUAGGUUCAUUGACUGCAUUUAGCCAUUCUGUAUCACAGUGGUUUUCAUUAGAAGUUCUAGGUCAAUGUUAAUCAAAUUUGGUGUUCUCAGAUUCGGAUGUAUGCCCAGAGUUUAGGAGUCCCCUCUGGGUACUUACUCAUAGGUGAUAAUCUAUGUGUCACUACCUUGAAUCUUAUCGAUCACCCGUUUCUUCCCAUAAUCUUUGAUCACAUUAGCUAUUCUAAAUUCCAUCUACUGGAGAACAUUUUAGAAAGAGCUAAGAUAUGAAUGUCAACAUACUAACUAAGGGGACCAUUAGUAGUUUUCUGCAAAUUGGGUUGCACAAAAUUAUUGCCAGGGACAGUGUAAAAAAACAAAGUGCAAAUGGACUUGUAAGUCACUCUGGAACAUUUAAGAAGAAUAAAAGAUAGCAUUUUAACAAACCUGGUACUAAUAUUCUUAACAACUGACUCAAAACAAAUAAAUGUCUAUAUAGAGAAAUAUUAGAAAAAAUAUAAAAAGAAUAGAUAAUAUAAAUAAAUCCAGAGCUUUAGAUAAAUUAAAAAACCUUUACUUGUAAAAGCCCUCUGCUCUAAUAAUAUAAUUUAGAAAACAACUUGUAAUAUAUCUUACAGCUAUAUUAUAUAUAUGUGUGUGUAUAUAUAUAUGUGUAUAUAUAUGCAUGUUAUGGCUAUAUUACAUAUAUAUGUUAUAUAUGUGUGUAUAUGUGCAUGUGUGUGUGUGUGAGUGUGUGUGUGUGUGUGUGUGUGUGUUACAAACCAAAUGAGAGCAAAAGGGGUCUUAUAAUUAAGUCAGGGGUAUAGGCAUUACCUAAACACAAUUUCAAGUGGAGAAACUAAGGUAUGAAUUACUAGACUAAUUCCUAUCAGAGUUGAUUCAAUUUUGGAAUCUGAGCUGGUGUUUUCCUGCAAGUUUUUUUAUUAGAACAUUACUCUCAGGGGCACCUGGGUAGCUCAGUCAGUUCAGCGUUCGACUUUGGCUCACAUCAUGAUCUUGCGAUUCGUGAGCUCAAGGCCCAUGUCGGGCUCUGUGCUGACAGUGCGGAGCCUGCUUGGGAUUCUCUCUCUCUCCUUCUUUUUCUGACCCUCCCCCACUCACACUCUGUCUCUGUCUCUCUCUCUCUCUCUCUCUUAAAAAUAAAUGAACAUUAAAAAAUUAAAAAAAAAUACUCUCAUUAUUUUUCCCCAUGAAAUUUAUAGUUUUAAAGAUGUGUAGAACAAAAUAUAUUGAUACACUUAUGAUUAAUUUAUGCUUCCAUUUCAUUAAUUAAUAUAAUCACAAUUUCUUUUUUUAAUGUUUAUUUAUUUUGUGAGAGAGAGAGGGAGCAAGAGCAUGUGUGCUUGCAAACAAAGGAAGGGCAGAGACAGAGAGAGAGAGAGAGAGAAUCCCAAGUAGGCUCCAUGCUGUCAGCACAGAGCCCAAUGCAGGGCUCGAUCUCACAAACCAUGACACCAUGACCUGAGCAGAAAUCAAGAGUCAGAUGCUCAACCAACUGAGCUACCCAGGCUCCCCCAUAAUCACAAUUUAUGAUAAACAUGAUAAACAUGAGACACAGUAUACUGUAAAUGAUAUGAUUGCAGAGAAAAACAAAUGUAUUUGAUAUUUUGUUAGACUAUGCAACGUUGUAGACAUAAGCUCAUGUUAUGUUAUAUUCAUCGAAAUACUAAAAUAAUAUGCAGCCUCAUAAAACACUCUUCUCUGAUUCAAGUUGGAGAUAAUUGCUUUAGACAACAAUAAAGCAGAGGAAUCCAUGUCUAAGAAUAGAAUUGUUGUGUGUCACGAGAACCUAAAAUGGUACUUAGCACAAAAUAGAGCCUCCAUAGAACUCAUUCUAACAUAUCUUGACUGGAUGAAGGCCACCCUUUUUAGACAAAAUUCUUUGACUUACUUCCUACAAUAGGGCGUGUGCUUCAUUUUCAUACAGCACUUGGCAAUUUUCGAAACUUUUCACAUCUAUCCCGUUUGAUUGUUACACCAAUCUUUUGUACCUAAGACAAGCGUAAAUAUUUCUGUUUUACUCAUGAGCCAAAUCUCAGGUGGAUCUGACUGAGAACCCAUCUCGUGGAGCUCUAAUAUGGCUGAUAAGCGUUCUUUCCUGCCCCCAGCUCCCAACUUGAAUCUGUCUAUAUGCGACCCAAACCACCUUUGCUUUUUGUUCCAGAUGGACCCAACCAGUUAACUAAGUGUAUUUUCUUAACUUCUCAGACAUCUGUCAAGGUCCACCUUGGCAUCAGUUGGCUCUGAAACUUGGUUGUACUGGGGUUAUUCUUCUUACCUUGACUGUGAUUGGGUUGAGUAUUUCAGGUAAGUGAUUCAAGAUCAUUUGCUUCAGAAUACAUAUUUUGUUCCUAUCACAAAUAUUAGAGUAUCAAAUAAUUUGGCCACCCCCAAACUUAGCGAAAGACCGAUGAAAGAAAAACAAUUACAAAACAAUGCUUUUAACAAUGCUCAGCCCAAAUCUACUCUGUGAACUUCAGCUUUUUGGAUUUCUGUUCCUAAUUGUUCUGAUCAUCUUCAGAUGUGCUUCAGAUAUUUCAGAUGUGCUCCAGAACUAAAAUUAGAUCACCACUCUAAUAAAGACAUGACAAUAACAAAGAUAAUUUGAAUUUUCCAUUAUUUACAGUUUCUUCAGUACCUAUUAUAUUCCAGAUUGCACUAGGCAAUCUCUCCCAUGGGGCAGGCAUAAUUAUAUUCCUCCCGAAAAUGAGAAAGCUUGGUCAGGAGUAUAAACAACUUAAGAGUAGAUAACAGGUAACAACGUCUAUGUAAGUUCAUUGUUAGGUGUUUUUUCUUGUUUGUUUGUUUACGUAUGCUGUGUUCUAACUAGACCCUUUGUUACUACAUAGCUAUUGCCUUUAUAUUCUACCCACAUUCAAGCUUGUUGAGAUAACACAGUUUCCCGAAGUGAUAAUAACAUAUCCAUUUUGCCACAUUCAGCAUUUAAUCUUCUUACUGGUUUCUCCUUAUUUACUAGUAAUAUUCUUAAGACAAAACUUGUCAAUAGAAGAAAGCGGUGUGGAUGUUCACGAGAACAGGAAUGAAACAACAGGUAAUUUUGUAGCUUGGAAGUUCCUAAAAAUAACAGCUCGUAUUUGACCGAUACCAUACAUUACAUUAGUAAAGGCUCCUAACAACCCAUAUAUUCAGAGAGUAUGAGCUUUCUGACUUUAUGUUUGACAACCCUGGGGAAUGGGAGGGUUAAGCAACUCACUUAGGGUCAUACACCAAGUAAGAGGCGACAGUGGAAAUUGUACCUGUGGCCUGACCUCAGAGCCGAUGAUCUUAACCACUAGGUCACACUUCCACACUUAGAGGAAACAAAAUAAGUAUUCUGAAGCCAAUGAUCGUGAAUCACUUACCUGACACACUCCACCCCAACACAGAUGUUGCUGCUAGAAUAUUCAAGAAUUAACAGCCAAAUAUCAAGUUAAGAAGUAAUAUACGCACCUAAGUGAAACAGUGGAUGAUUUUAGUGAGCAUGUCAAACAGUUAACUUUUGACUGAAGUUAAUUAGUAAAACUGAAAUAUAAAAUAAGUUUCUAAAUAUUUAUCAUAUUCACUACUAAGAGGUUAAUCUUGCUUCACAAAGCAGUGUGCGUUAAUAAAGACACUGUGGUUGAAUGACUGUAGUAAAAUAUGAUUGUGGAUGGUGCACAUGCUCCCAGAUCACCAAUUUUAAGCAACCUGGAAAAUCCUUCUGGAAAAUGUUACCCAACAGAUUGCACUAAGUAAGCAAGUAUAUACUUUGGCAAUUGGAAAUUUUCCGUAGUACUGGUCAUCAAUUUAGGGCGACAAAUUAUAUUUGCUUUGCAGUUUACAAGUUGUUUGAGGUAAAAACUCCUUUCGAUAAGUUUGAUAUUGUUGGAUAUGUACUAGAAUCAACACUACUGAUGAGCUUGAGAAAAUUCAGGAAUAGUUUUGACUCUUCACACCAUCUGAUUAUGUGCACUUAAAUUAUUCUGUCAGUGCCUUAAAAAGUAAGAUGUGGCUGCAUAAAUGAUUUUAAUGGUCUUUUCCUAUUCUAACACUCCAUGAUUCCAUUUAUGCUCCCUACAACUGGUCAUGGAUUUCCAAUUCUUGAUAUCAGAAUGGAGAGUGUCAAAAACCUCAGAAUUAUAGCAAAUCCAUUCAUUGUUCUCACAAUGAUAAUCAGAGACUUUUGUGCAUUUAUGAUGACUUGUGCGUGUGCGAUUUGUUGUGGUGGGUGGAAACAGGAGAGAACUAUAACACUUAUUUAUUUCAUCUUUCUCUUUACUUCAGAGAAACCAGAUCUGUUAAAGUGCCCAAAAGAUUGGCGUCUACUCCGAGAAAAAUGCUUGUUUUUUUCUCUCGCUUCCAACACUUGGAACUACAGUCUAGCUGACUGUUCCACAAAAGAAUCCAGUUUGCUGCUUUUUCAAGAUCCAGAAGAAUUGGUAAAUAAUUAAAUAAGAUACCUUAAUAGAACUUAGCACUUUUUUCUAACCUUACCACGGCCUUUGGGGUUCAGCCCAAAGGGGCUAUGCAGAUACAAGUAGCAACUUUGACUUCAAGAAGCUCACAAUCUGAGAGACGAAACAGACAUAUAAGGAAAUAAUUGAAUGUAAUUUGAUGAAUGCAACAAUAUAAAUAUAGAGAGUAAUAUCACAAAGAAGGAAUAAUCAACUCUGAUGCGGAGUUAGGAAAGUCAUCAUAGAUGAGGUAAGACUUGAACUCAGUUUUAGAGAAAGAGUAGAAAAAUGCAAACCAUGAAUAGAUCACACAGAUUCAGUAUUCCGCCAUUUUGUUUGCUUUAUUUAUAGAGACACGUACAAAGCCUGAUACCUAAAAAAGAAUUUCUGUUUUGGAUUGGAUUAAAUUUAACAUUAUCAGAGAAGAAAUGGAAGUGGAUAAAUGGGUCAUUUUUAAAUCCAAACGUGUGAGUAUUCGAUAAGCCAAUUUGAAUAUUCACGCUAUACCAGCUUUGUAUUUCGAGAACGUAAAAUCGUUAUGAAAGACUGAGUUUUGUGGUUUCCAUUUGGCUCAGAAAUUUUCAAGAUGUCCAGAAUAGACUUAGAAGAUGAACGAUUCUGAAGCUGGUUGGUUGAAAGUCCCAUAUGGGAAAAGACAUCAGCCCUUUAGAGCAAUAUAUAUAUAUUUUUAUCUACAACAGAGAUUUAGGAAACAAGGAAUAGAUAAUUUGGUGGCGGGGUGGGGGGGAUGGGGAUCGCAUUAAACAAUCUCUAGCUGUAGGCUUUUAGCAUGCAGAAUUAUUUAAGUAGUGUUUUUCAGUGAAUUAAAAAAAAAAAAGGUAAAUAUCAAGAGUGUGGAACUCAGACAGGCCGGAAAGCCUUACUGAUAACGUAAACAGUCGAUUAACAUAUAUUUUAAAUACAUUAUAGUUAUUCUUUUUUUUUUUUUUUUUUUAAAUUUUGUUUUUCAACGUUUAUUGAUUUUUUUUUGGGAGAGAGACAGAGCAUGAACGGGGGAGGAGCAGAGAGAGAGGGAGACACAGAAUCGGAAACAGGCUCCAGGCUCUGAGCCAUCAGCCCAGAGCCCGACGCGGGGCUCAAACUCACGGACCGCGAGAUCGUGACCUGGCUGAAGUCGGACGCUUAACCGACUGCGCCACCCAGGCGCCCCACAUUAUAGUUAUUCUACACUGUAUUCUUGCAAUAAGCUAGAGAAAAGAAAAUGUUAUUAAGAAAACCAUAAAACUAGAAAAUACAGUAACACACCGUAUUUAUCAAAAGACCAUGUGAAGUGAACACAUAUAGUUCAAACCCAUGAUGUUCAAAGGUCAACGGUAUAUUUUAAUAAGAGGUGCAAAGGAGACAAUUAUUUGAGGGGAUGCGAUGAAUAUGGCAUAGGCCACAAAGGAUCUAUUAGCUAUUUUCUAUUGGGUGUCUCAUUGUAAUUUUUUGUGUAAGCUGUCCAAGAAAAUUAUCGGUUCAAUAGGAGGGUUGAUACUACCCAAAUAAAUUACAUAUUUUAACAGAAUUAAUGGAUAAUUGUGUAACAAAGGCAGAGAAUUUUUUCCUCCAAAGCAAAAGUAUGCAUUCAAAUAAUGUUUCUGUAAAGAACUUCUUUUGAUAAGUUGUUCAGAAGAGAUGAUGUUGUGUUGCUUUAUUUUUUAACUUAUUUUAAUGUGUAUUUAUUUUUGAGAGAGAGACACAGAGCAUGAGCAGGGAAGGGGCAGAGAAAGGCAGACACAGAAUCUGAAGCAGGCCCCAGGCCCCGAGCUGUCAGUGCGGAGCCCGACGCGGGGCUCAAACCCACAAACUGUGAGAUCGUGACCUGAGCUGAAGUCGGACGCUUAAACCGACUGAGCCACCCAGGCGCCCCUGUGUUCCAGUUUUUGAGUCUGUGAAGACUUCAAUCACAUUUGUAUAAAUGAGAGUUAAAACUUUUUUAUCAUUCAAAAAACAUGAGGAAUAUGAGGAAAACACAUGAGACUUAAAACACAGGAACAUGUCCAAGUUUAUCUAAACUAUAGUGUAAACGUGUAAGGAAAAGUGUUAAACAUUGAAACAUAUGUUGGCUUAAUUAGCAAAUUUUUACGUUGUUUGACACAUGUUCUAAAAUAUUUUUUAAAGGUGAUUCUUCAAAAAAAUUAUUUUAGGGGCGCCUGGGUGGCUCAGUUGGUUAAGUGUCCGACUUCGGCUCAGGUCAUAAUCUCGCGGUCCGUGAGUUCGAGCCCCACGUCGGGCUCUGUGCUGACAGCUCAGAGCCUGGAGCCUGCUUCAGAUUCUGUGUCUCCCUCUCUCUCUGCCCCUCCCCCGCUCAUGCUCUGUCUCUCUCCGUUAAAUAAACAUUAAAAAAAAAUUAUUUUAAAGUCUAAGUGUUCCGAGGUAGAAUAAAUUUAUGAAAGGGCAAGCCUACUCUUCCUGGUGGAUAAAAUGUGCUUUCACACCACACAUGUAUACCACACACACACCAAAAACAACACACACACGUCAAACACACAUCACACAUACACGACACAAGCCACACACAAAAUACGCUGACCACAUGUAUAUAACAUACGUACUCCACACAUACACCACACACACACCACACAAAUUCCAAAAAAAAAAAAUCUAUCUUCAUUUUUUACAUGUUUUCUGGCGAUUACUCUCUGUACUUUAUUCCCAUAUAAAUGAAAAUUUAAUGUUGACUUAUUUUUCUUUGUUCAUACCCAAAUUAGGGUUAAUGGAAAUCAGUGUGUGUGUGUUUAUUUUACUGAAGUUUAUAAUAAAAUUGGAGAAUACUGAAGUGUCCGUGAGUGGAAAUAUAGGUAAAGCGGAUGGAUUAAAUUCAGCUGAACAUCCCAUUUUACUCUGAGAUAAAAAUUAUGCUUUAAUUAAAUAUGGCAGUGAUCAGGUAAACCUGGAAGGAAUGGGGUUGUAGUAGAAAGAGUAUUCAUUAAAUUCUGCUUUUAUUUUAACUGUCAGCCUGGCUUUCAGGUAAAAAAAAAAUAGAGGGUGAUAGUAAUUGUUUUUGCAGGAUUAAUAGGGAUUAAAUGAGAUAAGGUAGAGAACCAGGCUGAGAUCUGGUUAAGGAAAGCCUAGGAAGCCAUUGACGAUCUUUUGGAAAGAAAGUCUUUGAUUUGGCCAUCUAAGCAUUAAAAAGUUAUCUUGUAAAGCGGAAGAAGGAAUCAAAUGGGUAGAAGAGAUAAAACAUGGCGGACUUUGACAAUAGCCCAGUUGAGAGAAGUUCAUAAUUUGACUAGGGUGUCAGACACUAGGAAGGAAUCGGAUUGGCUGCUCAGGCCGAAAGGGCUGCAUGGAGAAAUGCAGUGAAGGAACAAAGAAAAGCUAUGACAGACCCCUAUCCUCUUUGUUUAAAAUUGGUUAAGAGAGUCUUGAACCAUCCCAUCCUGGCACCUCACCUUAGUGCCGCCUAUUCCCAAUACAUUCCAUAAGCCUCAUGCGUGUUGGAACCAACGGCAUUUUGAAGCAGACACUCACCAAUUUCUGUUUGGAAUGAGGAAAAAUGGAAGCCUCUGGCCCAUACCACACAAACUAAGCCUCUUUUUUUUUUUUAUUUUUAAAUGUUUUUAUUUAUUUUUGAGACAGAGAGAGACAGAGCAUGAGCAGGGAGGGGCAGAGAGAGAGGGAGACACAGAAUCUGAAGCAGGCUCCAGGCUCUGAGCUGUCAGCACAGAGCCCGACGCGGGGCUCGAACUCACAGACCAUGAGAUCGUGACCUGAGCCGAAGUCGGACGCUUAACCGACUGAGCCACCCAGGCGCCCCGCUAAGCCUCUUUUCUAAGCUGAUCCAAAUUCUGUAGACCCUGCAUGUCCAUCACCUGUUGUCUACUUAAUAUGUUUACUGAGCGCACACUUGAAGCAUUGUCAGACCUUCACAUGUGCUAUCUCAAUGCCUCCCCCAAAUAUCAAGUGGUCCUGUCCUAUUUAAGAAAACUGAAGCUCAGUAAAGUUAAGAAACUUUUCACAUGUAUUAAGGACAGAAUAAGAAUAAGAAGAGAGCCCCAGUUUGCAAAGCUUGGUGUUUGUUUGUUUGUUUGUUUGUAUAUAUUAGUUUGAAGCUUCUUGGUAGAGAAUGCUUUUCCAGUGAAGAUAAACUGGCAAGGGCCGGAGAUUUAUUAUUAGCUUUAAAUUAAAAGUUUACACCAUUAGGUUUGUGACUGUGCGCUUGCUCUAUACUCAAUAAUUUAGCAGCCCAUUGUUUCCUGAAAGUUGUAGGAGACGCUGGCUGGAUGAGGAGAAUUAUGUGAGAAAAUUCCAAGCACUAAAUGAUGCUUUUCGUUUGCUCCACAGAUUACAUAUUGUUGGUUAUACUAAGAAAAACAGCUGUGUUUACGUCUCACCGACAGGAAUUUUUUCUGAGGACUGUGACACAGACAAUAAAUGGAUCUGCCAGAAAGAACUACAACCUGUCAGAAAUAAGGCGUUUUCUGGCUCUUGACUAUGCAUUCCCUCUCAAUUUCUCUACUUUCCAUCACAGGUCUCUGCAUCUAUACAGCUAACCUGGCCCGAUGUAUAUCUAGAAGCACAAAGUGAACCAAUACUGACUCUUCUAAAACUGUCGUGAAUCUUACAGAAGUUCACGGCUAACCUACUCAUUGUAUGAAUGAGGAAGCAAAUACAUAGGGAAACCAAGUAUCAUUUCAAGAUACAGUGAUGUUCCAUGGAGAGGAGCCCCCAGACCAGCUGACUGGUUUCCAGUCUUGGCCUAUACAUGUGGCCUUCAUUGAUCCCCUCUAUGCUUUAGCUCACCUCUAGAAAAGUUACAGUAAAAGAUUUCUAAAGUCCUGUGGAUAUUUCAUAGUCUAUGAUUUUUCAUAUUAUCACACAACUGGAUUGUUCCAGAACAUUGGCCUAAGUCCAUUCUCUUGACUCUGAUAUCAGAAUCUCAUGACCAAAGGAACUUGGGAAGGGACCUAAACUCUUCCGCCAUUCCAGUGUUCUUCCUAUUUUAAUUUUCUCAUUACUUCUUUAUUUUCCUUCUAUGUCCCCUUCUCUCUAGGCUCACACACAGGCGGUAGGAAAUAUGUAAUUAAAUUUUUCAUUAUUUAGUGAAAAAUAAGUGAUUUUUUUCAUCAAAAGGGAAAUAUUUAUUCAGAUAAAUGUCGG
rnacentral:lncRNA from 1 species